rnacentral:lncRNA from 1 species
AGGCCCUAAAGUCAGAGAACCAGACACAGGAGGAAGAAGAAACUUCAGAGAGGUGAAGCAUGGGCCAGUGCUUGAGAAAAGCAUUAACUGAUGCCAGGCAGAAGCGAGUAUAAAGUCACCAAGAUGAGAGAUCUUCAAGGUCACACAGCCCCUGAGGAACUAAAGCCACACAAAAACAAAAGCCUCCAGUGCCAUUGCCCAGGGCUCUUCCAAUCUGCCCUGCAGCUCCUGUUUGGAAUGCAGCCUGACCCUUUGCAGACUGACAGUGGGGGAUGCUGACCUACUGGGUGUUCCUGCUGUCAGCAAUGGGCUCUGUGUGGCAUCCAGGCCCAUGUCUCUGAGGCCUCAGCGUUCUUGACACUUGGAAGAGGUAACAAAUAGGAAGCUGCAAUCCUGAAGAUUACAGGGUGCAUCACAGUGCUCUGCAGACCCCAGCUGUGCUGUAGCCUCCACCACACAGUUAGCACGUGACUGUUCUUGGGGUGUCCUGCAUCUUGGUUACAUCUUCCUCACCAGGCUCUGCAGGGGAGACAAGGAGGUCACUGUUCCUGGCAGAGCAGGACACUGGGGGUGACCCUAACGUAGCUCAUUUGGGGGUCCAGCAGGUACAAAAGAUGUCUAGAAAAUGGGCCAAUAGUCAACAGGCCCAGAAUGAAAUAUACAAGAUGGACAUUAGAAGGAGCAGGGAAUCCAGGGAUGGCAAGAUGGGAAGCGCACAGGCAGCAGGACCUGCAAUAUACAACAGCAAGUGUAAGUGGCCCUGGCUGGUCACUUGUCUCUGUCCUACAAAGCCAAGGCAGGUCUGUGAAGAACUGAGGUUCCAGGAAGGUUAUAAGGACCCAAGGAAAUGUCUUGGACAGUUUGGUGAGCAAUGGGUUUUGUUAUGGAGAUGAACGUGGAGGUAUCAGAACUGAGGACAAUAGUUGCAUCCAUGUGGGAUGCAUUGGGAGGUAAGACUAGGGACCUGGGCUGGGGCUACUCAAGCCUUCUGUGCACUGGGGAGGGUCAGUACCCUGGGAUGCAGGGAAAACCGGGAUGGAGGUGCUCAGAGACAGAUAGAGCAUCCUUGCACAAUGCUGGUCACAUAGAGGUCCUCAGAUGGAUUCAGUGAUCAACUGGCUGUUCAACCAAUCGAUUGAUGUAUGUAUAUGAGUUCUUGUUAAAGUUAGUGGAAACCUACUCUGCCUGCUUUUUGCAACAAAGGGAGUGGGGGCAGGCUAUUGGAAGAAGGCAAGGGGUGGACAGAUUUGAUGGGAGGCUGAGGACCAGGCUUGUGUAGGACUACGCUGGCACAGGAGCAGAGACAG